UUUUAUAGGUGUGUAGUGCUUCCCAAGUACUCCUCAAGGCAUCCUGCAUUGGUAGCUUUUAGAAACUGCGUGAUUUAGAACRUGUUGCUUUCUCGAAACAAAAAGCAUCCUUUUAGCAGAGGCAAUGGUAAUAGCAGGUGAAGCACAAAAAGCUCCCUGCUUACAGGAAAACUAGAAUCUCAUCCCGGGCUCAUCAGCUUGCGUGGAACAAGGUUUGUGAUUUGGAGUCCAGACA